rnacentral:misc_RNA from 1 species
AAGUCGUAACAAGGUUUCCGUAGGUGAACCUGCGGAAGGAUCAUUUGUGAGGCAACUCUGCGGAGCAGAGUUGGUUACUACUCAUGCACCUGUGAACGCAGCACGGCUGCACAUUUGCGUAUGCUUGUGGAUAUUAUCAUAAAUAGAAUGAACAGAAUACAACCUUUAGCAAUGGAUCUCUUGGCUUCU